UACGUAGGGUGCAAGCGUUAUUCGGAAUUACUGGGCGUAAAGCGUGCGCAGGCGGUGAUGUAAGACAGGUGUGAAAUCCCCGGGCUUAACCUGGGAACUGCAUUUGUGACUGCAUUGCUGGAGUGCGGCAGAGGGGGAUGGAAUUCCGCGUGUAGCAGUGAAAUGCGUAGAUAUGCGGAGGAACACCGAUGGCGAAGGCAAUCCCCUGGGCCUGCACUGACGCUCAUGCACGAAAGCGUGGGGAGCAAACAGG
rnacentral:rRNA from 1 species